UACGGAGGGUGCGAGCGUUGUCCGGAAUCACUGGGCGUAAAGGGCGCGUAGGUGGCUUGGUAAGCGUGUGGUGAAAGCUCGGGGCUCAACCCCGAGUCGGCCAUGCGAACUGCCGAGCUUGAGCACUGUAGAGGCAGACGGAAUUCCGGGUGCAGCGGUGGAAUGCGUAGAGAUCCGGAAGAACACCAGUGGCGAAGGCGGUCUGCUGGGCAGUUGCUGACACUGAGGCGCGACAGCGUGGGGAGCAAACAGG
rnacentral:rRNA from 1 species